rnacentral:rRNA from 1 species
GACGAACGCUGGCGGCGUGCUUAACACAUGCAAGUCGAACGAAGUGGCGAACGGGUGAGUAACGCGUAAUCAACCUGCACAUCAGAGGGGGAAAACAGUUGGAAACGACUGCUAAUCCCGCAUACUGAAGGAGGGGAUGGCGUCUGGUUAGCUAGGUGGAGGGGUAACGGGCCACCAAGGCGAUGAUCAGUAGCCGGUCUGAGAGGAUGAACGGCCACAUUGGGACCGAGACCCGGCCCAGAAUCCUACGGGAGGCAGCAGUUGGGAAUCUUCCGCAAUGGAGGAAAGUCUGACCGAGCAACGCCGCGUUAGUGAUGACGGCCUUCGGGUUGUAAAGCUCUGUUAAUCGGGACGCGGUACCUGAAUAGAAAGCCACGGCUAACUACGUGCCAGCAGCCGCGGUAAUAC